rnacentral:rRNA from 1 species
GAUGAACGCUGGCGGCGUGCUUAACACAUGCAAGUCGAACGAUGAAGCCCGUGCUUGCACGGGUGGAUUAGUGGCGAACGGGUGAGUAUCACGUGAGUAACCUGCCUCACACAGGGGGAUAACAGUUGGAAACGACUGCUAAUACCGCAUAAGCGCACAGUACCGCAUGGUACAGUGUGAAAAGUUUUUUUCGGGUGUGAGAUGGACCCGCGUCUGAUUAGCUAGUUGGCGGGUAACGGCCCACCAAGGCGACGAUCAGUAGCCGGCCUGAGAGGGUGGACGGCCACAUUGGGACUGAGACACGGCCCAA